ensembl:snRNA U5 U5 spliceosomal RNA
CUUGUCGGUUCCUCCUCAGGUCAUAUAAAUCUUUCACCUUUUACUAAAAAUUUCUGUAGAGUGGAACAGUUAUGAAUAUAUAACUAUUUUUUGAGGACACAGAGAGGCAGCAGAGUU